rnacentral:lncRNA from 1 species
GUUUAGUCUUCAUUGCCAUAAAUUAAUGGUAAAUUUGUUGAAUGAAUCUAGAAAAUAGCUGUCAAGGCAAAGGUUUAAAAGGAGGAAAACCGUACUGGGCAGUGGAGAUUCAGGAUCGCUGAGACCCAGCUGUGGUUUUAAGUGGCAUUUGUCGUCUGGUAGGGAAGACAGACAGGCAAGCCCACGUGGGGCAGAAGGCUCAGUGUGGGACACAGGACCUGAGUGGACUGUGGGCCACGUGGGAAGCCGAGGGCAGCCCAGCCGCAGCAGUGAGGCAAAGGUAGUGAAUGCUGAAAAGCAGGGUCUACCUGAGAGGUCAUUGAGCUCCGAAGGAGCGUGGGAGGCAGAUGAGGCUGUCUACAGACAUCAGACGGCAGAGGGGCCUGCGUGCCAUGUUAGGGGGUGGACUGAAGUCCAAGUGGAGUCCUGGACAGGUGGGAACACAGGUAAUGGGGCCCUCCUCCUGCUGCCCCAUCUAGGGAGCAUGAACAGAACCACCUGAAAGAGCCAGGCACACUCCACUCUCCUGACAGUCGCCAAUCUGUUCACGGCAGCCCUUCCGUGGCAAAAUCCUGACCCUCGGGACAAGGUGUUAUCUCAUACAUGUUUUGGAGGUCAAAGAAGGAGGAGAAGAGGCCACUUUGCCUGCACAGCACGCUGGAGGUUGGACGUCUCCGGAUUAUCUUAGCGACUUCUCUCAACCACACUGUCUCUGACCUUUCUCUGUGGUGACUCAGUGGGUGUAGGUGGCUGUACUUUGCCCUUUGGGUUCUGGGUAAUUCUAUAAUCUUCCUCCAAAUUGUAAUUUAGCCCACUGGAAACACAGUUUCAGAAUUCUCAUUUUGUGUGCACCUAAGAUGGCAUGAUUUUCUCCAAAAGUGUGUUCCCAGAAGAAAGCCUGUGGGACUUAGCUCUCCUCCGGGCAAGGUGGGCCCGGAGAAGUCACGUGGAGGCUCGGCCAGGACUCAGGAAAUGGGCAGCAGAAAGGGAAGUUGAAAGGCUGGCCUGGGCAGCAGAAGGAGGAUCGGCCGGCUGGCCUGGGCAGCCCCUGCCCCUGCUGGCUCCCUCUCUAAUUCUGCUCUCAGCCUUUCCUCUCUGCUGCAGGGUUCUCUUCGCUGCCCUCUGCCCCUGCUCACCCCGCUG